rnacentral:tRNA from 1 species
GCCCAGGUGGCGGAAUAGGUAGACGCACAGGACUUAAAAUCCUGCGAUAGCGAUAUCGUACCGGUUCGAUUCCGGUCCCGGGCACCA